GAUGAACGCUGGCGUCGUGCCUAAUACAUGCAAGUCGAGCGAACGGACGAGAAGCUUGCUUCUCUGAUGUUAGCGGCGGACGGGUGAGUAACACGUGGAUAACCUACCUAUAAGACUGGGAUAACUUCGGGAAACCGGAGCUAAUACCGGAUAAUAUUUUGAACCGCAUGGUUCAAAAGUGAAAGACGGUCUUGCUGUCACUUAUAGAUGGAUCCGCGCUGCAUUAGCUAGUUGGUAAGGUAACGGCUUACCAAGGCAACGAUGCAUAGCCGACCUGAGAGGGUGAUCGGCCACACUGGAACUGAGACACGGUCCAGACUCCUACGGGAGGCAGCAGUAGGGAAUCUUCCGCAAUGGGCGAAAGCCUGACGGAGCAACGCCGCGUGAGUGAUGAAGGUCUUCGGAUCGUAAAACUCUGUUAUUAGGGAAGAACAUAUGUGUAAGUAACUGUGCACAUCUUGACGGUACCUAAUCAGAAAGCCACGGCUAACUACGUG
rnacentral:rRNA from 1 species